CCGUGCAAAGGUAGCAUAGUAAUUAGUUUUUUAAUUGAAAAAUAGUAUGAUUGGGUUAACGAAGUUGAAGCUUUUUUUUUUAAUUAUAAUAAAAUUUUAUUUUUAAGUGAAAAAGCUUAAAUAAUUUAAAUAGACGAGAAGACCCCAAGAAUUAUGUUUGUAUUUUAAUAGAAUUUAUUUAGUAUAGAUAUUAUAUUAUUAAAAAAAUUGACUGGGGCGGUCUUUAAGUAAAAAAACCUUAAUAUGAUAAAUUAAACUAUUUUUAGGAAUAAUUGAAGUUUUAUUAGUUAAUUGUAAAAUUACCUUGGGGAUAACAGCGUUAUUUUGAUUAAAAGUUCUAAUAAAUAUCAAAGUUUGCGACCUCGAUGUUGAAUUAAA
rnacentral:rRNA from 1 species